AAGAAAACAUUUGAUAUAUUACCUAAAACAGGGCAAGCUAUAAGCAAAUUAGCAACCACUUUCAGUGCUUACUUAAAUGCCUUCAUCCUACAGAGUCUGAAACAUUUUAUGUAACCUGUGUGAAAUCUUCCCGAUUGCUUCAGAUUAUAUUCAAUCCUCCCAUCAUUGAUACCUCGUAGCAUCUUAGUCCAUUGUCUCCUGUGCUGUCAUACAAUAUUUUCCGGUGCUUAUGCCUUAUCAGUGCCAAAUUAUUUUAAAUUCCCCAAGGGCAGGCACUGAGUCCUAUUUUACCAGCUGAUUUUCUUCAUAGAUUCAACCACAGUGCUAUGAUGAGCAAGAAGUAGCAUAUCACACAGGGCCUAGGAUUGAGUGAGAGACUCCUUGUGCCAGUUACAUCUCUAAACCACUGGUAAUUAGUAUUUUUUGUAAAAUGGGCAUAUAAAUUUGGAAGCAUUUUAUAAAAAAAAUAUAAGGUACCAGGAUACAUUCUUCCUUCAAGACUAUUGCUAAUGUAGUAGCAGUCACUUUCAGAUAUAGCCAGGCAAUGAUUUCACAUACAUUAUCUUAUAUAGUCACAACAAAUCUAGUAAUAGUAAUGAUACAGAUGAGGAAAGUGUUUGAAUGGGAAAAUGGAGGCUUAGAUAGUUUAACCAAGUCAUUCAUCAUCUCAUACAACUAACAAAGUACACUUGAAGGGGUGAUUUUACUCCAAAUCUGGGAAGACGGGGGGGCUUCUAAAAAAAUAAAUAAAUCUUAACUUUGAUUAGUGAUCCCACUAAUGUAUAUUCACUAGAUAUGUUCCAGAAUGUUGAUACCCAAGAACAGACAGAGGAAUGAUAGAAAAUUGAGUAUCUUCAAAGAGUUAUAAAUGACACAAGUAAAGGUGGCAACUAGAGAACUUAUGCUUUCAUGUCAUAACUCCUGCCUACUCCCACAAAAGCAGUAAGUACUCUUAUCAUAAUGACAAAUCUGAACUGUCAGCAGCAAACACAAAUCCAGAAAUCUGAAAUGAGCAUCGAUCUAAAUUUUCAACUCAUCAUUCAUCAUUUAAAACACUGCCUAUUGUUUAGCAUGUGAUUUAUUUAUUUUAUGAUAAUCAUAUCUCAAUUCAAAUUACAUUCUGAAAUCAAGUGCCUAUACAAAUAAGGUAGUAGAUAAUUCCAAUUUUGGUCGUUAUGAGGUCUCUAUUCUUGUAGUCUUAACAGACUUACAUAUACUUGGAUGUUCAGAAAAACAGGAAAAAAAAAUCCUGCCUUUUCCAUUCAAACUUCUAAUCACUGGGACUUUCAUUUUGAAGCCAGCAGUAGAGUGGCAUAUCUAAGAGUUCUCUGCUUAGCUUCUAGAGAUCUGGGAAGCAUAGCUGAGUUUGGGAAUCCUCAUGCUUACAGUUUUGCUUUCUAGAGGUAUCAUCUGGCCCUCAGCAAUUGUCAGGCACCAUCUGCUAUACUUCCAUAGAAUAAUGUGCUUUUCUGGCUAGUAGAGAACGAGGAUAAUAUUAUUCUCUCUGUGAUUUCCACAGUGAUGUUCCAUUCUUUUUAUUCGUUGUCUUCUUGUUUCAGGUUCCAGUGUCUUUCGGACCAUCUCUAAUUUCUUUCCUGCCAUAAAUAUUCCCUAAAGCAAGAGGACACAGAGCCUGCUAUAAGCUAGGUUGGAGAAGUAGGGACAAAAAAUAGUGUCAAAGAAGUCAAAGAUUCAAAUCUCCACAAUGUUCGACUAUGUGCUACCAAGAUAAAAGUUCCCACUCCCAAGAAAAUAAAUGCCAUUAUCUGCCAAGAAAGCACAAAGUAAAUUGGUAGGCUACAGGUGAAAUGUGAACCAUAGUCAAGCCUUAUUUAAUUUUCCCAGUGUUCUAAAGCAAUAGCAAACGUACUGAAAGAAUUUUUAAAAUUAGAGAUAUAGUAUCCUCAAAAUGAAAGAGUAAACUGAAUUUUUAUUUUCAUAGGCAAAACUAGUUGAGUCUGAGAAGCUCUGUCCCUUCAAAGAGGGUUACCCUUACCAGGUAGGCACAGACUCCCCUCUCCACUUCGUCUCAUUUGGUGUAUUCCUGGGCUCAUGAGCACCUAAACUAUAGCACCUUGCCCAGAUAUUAAAUAUUUAUCAAUUUAUGUCAUAUAUAUAAGCUAAUACAAGUAUUUUAGUGAAGAUGCUUCCUCAAAUCUUCUGAAAAUAAUUAUCUUUCAAUUGUUAAAGAACUCUGAAAAUAUUUUGUAUACCUUUUUUGUAUACAAAAUUAUACAAUAUUUGUCUCUCCUACUAUAAUACAACUUCUAAUAGGGUAGAAAAUUUUGUCUGGUCAUUACUACAUUCCCAGCAUCUAUAAUAAUGUAUAGCACAUAGACUUGGGUCUCAGUAAAUAACUAUGCUGAAUAUUUAUGUUGAAUGAAUUUAUGAGAUGAACAGCAAAUUUUACAUGGACACAUAUAAUAAUAAUUGAGGUGCUUCCUUUAUGCCAGGGGCUAUUUUAAUGGCUUAUAUUUGCUCAUUAAAUCCUCACAAUAACACUGCAAGAUAAAUUAUCACCAACCCUAUUUGGCAGAAGGGGAGAUUAAGGUUUGGUUAAUUUUGUUUCCUGAGAUCAGCAGUUAAAAUGUGGAUGCAACCAUUCUGGCUUUGGAGUCUGUGCCAUUAAUCUUUGUUAUAAAGUGUUACUUAUAAUGGUGCCAUCUGAAGAUAAAGAGCCCUAGAUAACAAAGCACUUUUAUUCCAAACAGCAAAACUGCUUCAUAGGAGCAUACACCACUUCUGUGUCUGGAGACACCCUAGAGCUUAGGUGAAAAACAUGAAAGGAAGUUAAGAAGCCAAGUCCAUCUCACACGCAUUAGGAUGGCUAUUAUCAAAAGAAUAGAAAAAUGAUAUGUAUUGGCAACAACAUGGACAAAUUGGAACACUUGUGCUUUGUAUGUGGGAAUGUAAAAUAGUGCGACUGCUAUGGAAAACAGCAUACUGGUUCCACACACAAAAUAAUAAUAAUAAUAAUAAAUAAAUAGAACUACUCUAUGAUUUAUCAAUUCCACUUCUGGACAUUUAUUCAAAAUAAUUGAAAGCAGAAUCUCAAAAUCAUAUUUCUACACUAUGUUCAUAGCAAUGUUAUUCACAAUAGCAAAAAGAGGGAAGAAACCUGUGUCCAAUGAAGAAUGGGUAAACUAAAAUGUGGUACAUACAUAGAAUGGAGUAUUAUUCAACUUCAGAAAGAAAGAAAAUUGUGACCCAUGCCCAACAUGAAUAGACAGUGAGGAAAUUAUGCUAAGUGAAAUAAGUCAGGCACCAAAAAAUUAAUACUGAAUAAUUUAGAGAAGUCAAAUUCAUAAAGACAGACAGUAGUUGCCAGGGGCUGAUUGAAGGAAAGAAUAGUUACUGUUUAAUGAGUGUAGAGUUUCAGUUUCCCAAAAUGAAAAGAAUUGUAGUUGGAUGGUGUUGAUGGCUCCACAGCAAUGUGAAUGUUCUUAAUGCCACUGGACUGGAUACUGUAAAAUCGUUAAGAUGGUAAAUUUUGUAUUAUGUCUAUCUUACCACAAUUUUAAAAAGGAAAUGCUUAGUACUUGAUUUAGGUGGCAAAACCACUCUACACUCUGUCUUUACUUUCUAUUUAAAUCUCAGUGAAUUAAAGAUUGUUUACUGCAUAUGUUUAACUCUGCAUGUGCCUUCUCAUUUCCCUUUUAUUCUUGUUUCUCGCCUUUCAAGGAAAGGUAAAGUAAUUUUCUCAUGAUCACAGUUCAUACUACAACCUGAGGUUCAAUUACUUAAAAAUAUCUUGGGAAAUGACAAUAACUAACAGCUUCUUUGGAAAUAAUUAAAAAUGCACAUGCAUAGGUGUAAUUAUUUCAUUUAUCUGUGUAACACCCUACUUAAAGGAAUGUGCCUGUUGUUGCAACUGUAACACGCAUUGCAAGCACCAGCGUGAGGAGCCGUGGCUGACCAACUCUUGCAUGAAAAGAGAAGAAUUUUUAUCCGUUCAGUGGGUGCAGGCACAAUAAAUGCCUUGCUUGGUUGCCGAUUAGAAGAUAGAGUUAUUAGCCAGGAAGAUACGAACAAAGUGAGAGAUGAAAAUGACACUGUCAUGGAUAAAGCUCGAGCCUUGAUUGACCUUGUUAUUGGAAAAGGACCAGAGUCUUGCUGCAAAUUUAUCAAGCAUCUCUGUGAAGAAGACCCUCCACUUGCCUCAAAGAUGUGUGUGCACAAAGAGUGAAGAUGGAAACUCUGGUGAACUACUGCCACUUCCUGAAGCUUUUCCAGAGAAAAUAUAUUAUUGUGAGAGAUAAAAAAGCAAAAAAACACAAAUGUGUUUCUCACAAAGCCAAUUAAUGACAUCAGUUUCGAUUAAAUCUCUCAUUCACACGACUUGCUUCUUGCUAUUUCUCUUCCCAUACCAACGAAGGAUAAUUCCUCAAUAAUAAAGAAGGUCAUGAUGAUUAUAAUGUAACUGAGAAAGUCCCUCCCUUUCCUUUUCUUUUUGUUCAGUUUCUUUGCAAUCCUGUAGAGACUUGUACAGCCCACUUUGGUGCUUUUGGCACUGGGAGUCUGCUGUGAUGGGAAACAAAUGAAGGCCCCACUCAGAGUUUUAAACAUUGCUUCUUCAUAAUGUUCUCAUCCAGUUUUUUAAGGCCGUGGUCUGUGAAAAUUACUCAACAUAAUAAACAAAACUUCCUUUCUGGGAAAAUAAUAGAGAAAGUCCAUGGACAAAUAAUCCAUUGCCAUAAGUCAGGCUUUCACAAAAAUGUUUUCAUGAAAGUACUGAUAGCUUUAUGUGCCACAUGGGCAGGGUGCAACAAGAUAUGACUUAAAGUCGAGGAAUGGAGAUUUGUGGAGUAAAGACAGCGUGAUGACAUGCCAUCGCUCUCCACCCUUCAGAGCAAAACACUGGCUAAUAAUUAGGCUUAGGCUGUCUUUUCCCUGUGUACAUGGUGUUAAAUAACGAAGCAUUAUCUUCUAGAUGCCUCAGGAGGUCUUCUAAUUUCUUAGCACAUGCCAAUUCCUAAAAUUUCUGGCAUAAGUGGUAGCAAAGGAUUUGGUUCCAGGAACAAAGGCCAAAAAAUUUCCUGAACUUUUUUAUGUUUGUGCACUUUUUCCAAGCUCUUUAGAAAACUAAAAUAAAACAAUGUGGUUCCUUUAAUUUUGAAUUCGUCAGUCAUAAAUUAUUGCAAAAACAAUCAUUGUAGGUUGACAUCAAAUACAGUAAAUGAGAAUGUUUGGUAUUUUCCUCCAAAGAGGAGGUAUAUUCCACUGAUAGGAAGUGUUUCUUAGAGACAAGUAAUUGCCGUUAGGGUUCUCCUCAUUGAUAAUCUGAUAGUUUAUCUGAGAAGAUACAUUUUGAGGGUGAUUCUGUUUGGCUGUGUGUCCGCAGCCAAACUUCACCUUGUAGAUGGGGUUUUACCCUGCCAGCCAGGAUGGUCUCAAUCUCCUGACCUCGUGAUCUGCCCAACCCAGCCUCCCAAAGUGCCUGGAUUACAGGUGUGAGCCACCGUGCCUGGCCCCAUAGUAAAUUUAAUUAGAAAAAAAUGAGGUCCAGAUAUUUAAGCUAGAAAUUAAGUAUGAUUUUUCCUAUGCCAGUGUUCUUCCCAAUGAAAGUUCUACUUUCCCAUUGUAACACUUAAAAGUAAGUUAAUUUUUCAGAAUAGGCAGGCUGAAAAAUCUAAGAAUGAAAAUUGAGGUGCGUAGGUCAUAGAAUGUUAUUGGCGAUUUAAGUCAUACAUGCUAGAAGAUAAGGUCACAAUAAAGUGGAGCUAUAUAAAUUUUAGGAUCUUUGAGGAAUGGAGUUUUCUUCUUUCAAUGGAUAGAAAUUGAAGUUUAAGAACUGAUAUGAAGAAAUUGGAAUCUAAUUAGGAGAACAAAAAGCCUCCUCUAACUAAAGAUAGAGCAACUCUAAUGUGCUUUUCCAUAAAGAAUCAUAGAAUAAAAAUUUCUCACAUAAAGGUUUGAAAAGGUAACUGAUAAUCACAAAAAAAAAAUCAUUUAUUGACCCUUCAGAGAACAUUCUGAGUUGAGAUAGGGAAUUGUGCUUUGAACCUAUCAGAAUAUCAAAGUUCAGGUUAUGGCAAAGAGACCUGAAUCCAGCUUAAAAAUGGAUUAUGAGGUCAAGAUCUACGGCAGUGGAUGUCUCAGUGGUCAGAUAAAUGAAAAGGUUUUAAAGGUCAGGUCUUAGGAACAAAAGCUUGGAAUUUAAGCUUCAAGAGAAUCAUUUUGAGAAGAUGAGUUGUCGGUGAAGAUUGAGAGCAGACAACUUCGGGAUCCAAAUCUCCAAAGAGUUUCCUCUGAAAGAUAUUUUAGAGUCCCUAUUUGGUGAUCAUCGAAGGGAUUACAUGAAGUAAUAAAUGUCAAAAUGUCUUGGGUUUAGAUAGUUUAUUUAAAGGUAAAGCUUCAACUGUGACCAAGGUAAAGGUCACUAUAAAGAGAUGGUGUGACUUGGAUGAUCCUCAGAAUAUCUAAAUGGCUAGAUAUCCUUUGGAAUUAACAAAGCUCUUCUUUCCUUAUAAUUCCACCAAAAUUCUCAACUCAAGUUAUCUUCACCUUGGUUCAUGGUGCAAUAUUUAUUUUUCUAUGAAAGAAUUCGAACCUGAAACACUCAUUUUAUUUUCAGGUACAAGGAUAAUAUGAAGAACUAGGUAUAAAUGCUCAGAUGCCCAAAAUUGAAAUAGUAUUCAUAACAGGAUAUUUUUAUUAUUUCACAGGCAAUUAAACAUGGUAUCAUUAGCUCUUUUGGCAACUUACAUAAAUGACCAGAAUGAAAGAUACCAUUUGUGAUAAACUGAAUCCUAAUGCACCAUCAGUGAUAUGGUGAUGAUGACAUUUAUCUGCUGCUUUUUUUUCUUGUGUCCUCCUGACAUUAGACAAAAAAAAAAAAAAAAAAAUAAAAAGAAAAAAAAAAAAAAAAGCAGCAAGGAUAUUUUCUGGAAUAAAAUGAGAAUUACUUUUAAAUAGUAAUUUGUUUAUCCCUACUGAGGUAACAAGUCCACACACAUUAUUAUCUAUCAGUAGUAAUAACUGGACUUUAAUUCAGGGAAUGGUCAACUACAGAAAAGUCAGGUCUUUGAUCAUCAGAGUACACAAUUAUAUUUAGUGAAUCCAAUCUGAAAUUAUUAUGAGGUAUCCUUUUGUAUAUCUAAUGUUCACUGGUUUUAUUGUUGUGCUAUAAAAAUAUCUUUCCAGGAUGCAGAACCCAGACACUCAAAAUCUUACUUCAAGGACUAAGUUAAGGUUCAGACACAGCUUCAAUUUCGUAAGCUAACAAUCUAAACUCACUGUGGUCAAAACCUUUCAAAUGUAUACACUGGUGUCAAUCAACAAUUCAUUUACAGACAUCAACAGUUAAUGAUUAUAAUACAUAUAUUGUAGUAGACUUUUAAUUACUAGGGCACUUAACAAGUAUGUUCUAAAAUCAACUAAGAGUGGCAAUUAGUAAGUGAUCUUUUGUUAAUAUCUAAAAUCUGUCAUCAAUCACCCAGUCACAGAGAUUCAAGCACAAUACCCACCACCAUCUAUGCCAAAACUUUUUGACCAUUUCUCAUCAUCUGGGGAUGUUGCCACACACCACUAUGACGUUUCCCUGCAAUUCCUUACCCAUCUAUUCUUUAUCAUUUCUGCAGGAAAUAACAAUCCAGCCUUUCUGGACUACAGUCAAAUUUACCAUCCUGUUCAAUUUUUGCUAUUUCUUGCUGUAAUCCAAGAAAAUAUGAAACAAAUUGAUACUCUAUCUUAAUGGUAAAUAAAAUUAUCCAUGAAGAGUGCGUAAGUGGAAUCUUGAGAUUAAAAGAAAGAAUUCACUAAUUUAACACUAUUUUACCGUUUGUUCAAUUGGGCUUUACUGAGUAAACUACUUCAGCUGAAUCAAAAUUCAGUGACUCUGGAACCUUUUGAAGACAUAACUUCCAUGAUAAACCAUUUCGUACCUGCCGAGAACCUUGGAAUGCUUUUGGUAACUAUUUUUGUUUUUGUAUCUUGUGAUAUUUUAGAGGGUAUUAGUUGGCUGAGGCAUUCAAAGCAGUGUUCUGAAACUUAAUAUUAAAAAAAAAAAAAAAAAACCUGGUGAUCUUGUUAAACUGCCAACUCAGAUUUAGCAGGUCUGGGUGGAGCCUGAGAUUUUGUAUUUCUAGUGAGUAACAUGUAAUUUUAAUGCUGCCAGGGUAAAGACUAACUUUGACUGUCAGAGAUCUAGUAGAUACUCCAAGUUUGCUGCAAUACCAUAUUUCCAACACAAGAAACUGGGACUGUUUCUGAUUUUAUGGACAAGUUAAAGGUCAUCAUCAUCCAAAACUACUAUCGGGUGACUGUUAUGUUUCUUUGGUGCAGGAAACAUAAGGAAUUUGCAAGUUUCUUGUUGUCAUUCAGUCUUGUUCACUGAAUCCAGUGGUUACUGCUAGAUAACGACUUCAGUUUAUUACUUUUCAAGAUUUGUUGAGCUCAAUUAGCAUUCUUCUUAGGAAAAAGAAAUUAUCCUUGGCUAUUUGUGAGAAGGCAUAACAGUGAAGUAGUGUGUGUUUAUGUGUGUGUGUGUGAGAGAGAGAGAGAGAGAGAGAGAGAGAGAAACAAAUGCUAUUAAAUUUCCUUUCGUUAAUCAAUAUAGUGUUACAUCAUUUUAUCUUCCCCUCUUGCUUAAAAUAGAUACAUUUACCCACUUUUUUGAAAUCAUCAUGGAUAUAUGCUGCUGUUUUUUCUUAUGAAAAAAUUUCUGUUAUGUUACUAAUCAUAUUUUGCCAGAGAAAGAGGAACAGUAGGGUUUAUGGUGGCUAAGAAAGGAGGCUGAGAGAAAACAGAAAAUAUGAGGAUGAUUACACCAACAUUUGCUUCUUUUUCAUGACUAGUAGCAACAUAAAGAAUCCAUUCUGUGAAAGAAGAAAAUGCAUGUGUGAAGAACUCACUAAAAUGACUGCAAACACUUCUUUGCUGGCCCCAGAUGAAAUCAUUAAUAAAGCCUGUAUGAGAAAGGAUUUUUUUUAAUACUGCCAUCCCAAGGAAGCAAUUUCCUAGACAGUUUUUGUGAUUUGUUAGUACACAGACUUGAAUAAAACCUACAGGAAGCUAUGCGAUAUGCGAACCUAAGCAAAGAUGUUUAAGCAGCUCAAAUGAGGAUCUUAGUAUUUACAAUAAUUUCUAUAUGAUUUUAUGCAUUCCUCUCUAUGGUAUCUCACAUUCCACUUACAGAAGAUAAUUCUAAAUAUAUUAUCCCUACCAUUUGCAGUUUACCUGUCAUUUAAUAUUCUCUUCAAAGAGUAGUAUAAGAAUCACAGAGGAAUAUGUACAGUGCUGUAAGACAAAAACAAAACAAAACCCCCAAAUCUAAAGGUACGCACUGUGACUAGGCAGACAAGACACAUAUAAAUGGACAUUAUUCACUAGCUUGCUUGGCCUCAGCUAGUGAAUAGACACUGUUGAAAAAGCUAAGACAUAAGACUUUUAAGUCAUCUCAGGAUCAUAGUAUUAAGGCUAGAAAACCUAAGAUAGGAAGGUUGUACUAAGAAGCAGAGGCUAUUAAAAAUAAAUGAUUCUAGCACUCUGCUUAAAGAAAAUGGAGGAAGUAUAACUAAUCUGGAUUUGCAUGCAAAUCUAUCCAAAUUCAUCUCUGCCCAAAACUUGUUAUUAGAUGUGUGAUUAUAUGUGUAAUUAACAUAGCUACGGAGUUUUAUCCAUGAGGAGAGUUAAUCCUAUCAAUUUUGUAAUGUAGUAAGAAUUACAUGACAUGAUAAAUGUUGAAAACUAGCCAUAGCUCUGUUCAUACUUAAAGGGCUCGAUAAGGAUAAUGAUGGCAACAAUGAUGGUGGUGAUGAUGAUGAUGAUAAUAACAUAGUUUGGUUGAUUAUGAAAUAAGAGGAGUCAGGAACUUGAGUGUAGGUAUUAUUUGGAAAGUAUUUCCAAGAAGCAGAAGUGAGGGAGUGGGGAAGGAGAUGAAGGGAAGACAAUCUCCCAAAAAGUUGCAUUAAUAAAUUUAUUACUGCUCUGAAAAACUGGGGUUCAAUCUUUCUUAGGGAUCCUCUGCAAUUAUGAAGAUUCUACCUUAUUAGAAGAUGGGGAGUUAGAGACAUUCAUCAACUGACUAAUGCCAUUCAUUGGCUGAAAUUAGCCCCUAGUAGCAGGUUCUCCCACUCCCACAAUUCUGGACCCAUAUAUGCACAGGUAAGCAGCCCCAAUCCUUUGGUGAACAUCUCCAAUUUUCAAAGCAGAAAGAGCCUGAGGGAUAGUGGCUUGAUGUGUGACUGACAACAGCCACAUGAGGGGAGGUCCCCACCAGAGCAGCGCUAAAGUCAGGCGGGCUGAAGUGGUGUGUCAUGUAAUAACAAUGAUUUUUCUCAGUGGGGGUAGGACUUCAAUAUGUUUUUAUGGGACACAAUUCAACUCAUAACAAUGCCCAACUCACAGGGCUGUUAGAAAGCAAUUAUUUUUGAAACUUAUCCUAUUAAGCAUACAUUGUGCUUCUUCAAUCAAUCAGUGGACACAUAUUUUUCCCCAGUUCUGAAAAAUUUGCUUUAUAUUUUUUCUUUUGUAUUCUCUCUCUUCUAUCUUUCUGGUAAUUUGAUCUGAUAUAUCUUAGAGUUUCUCAUUCCAUCCUUCAUACCUCUGAAGCCCUCUCAAAUGUUUCAGCUUCUCAUUUCAGUUUUUGCAAUCUAGAUAAAUUAGUGUCAAGCUAUGAACAGCAGGAAUCUGAAAUGUCUUGGUCGGCUUAUAUGUGUAUUUAAAACAAAUAAACAUAUUGGGAAAAUUUUUGGAGAUUUGCUAUAAUGUGAACAAAAUCGCAAACCAUCUACACUAGAAAUAUGGAAAAUUAAGUUAGAUAUGUAAAAUAUGCAAAAAAUUUAAAAAGUCUAUUUUAUCACUUACUAUCAUAUUAUAAAAUAUAUACAAAUCUAUUAUAGAAAGCUAAAGUUUGUUAAAGUUUAUGCACACCUAGGUAAUAUAUAAUACCGUUUGCAAUUGAGAGAAAUGUAAACAAAUAAACAGAUGUACAGAUGCAGUGUUGAAUCCUAACUGCAUAAAAUUAAUCAUGCAUAAUGUACUCCUGUAUUUUCACAGCCAUUCCUGUUGCAAUAUCACUGAGCUCAAUUUUUAAUCUUGUAUUGAAACUGAAGCUUGUAUGUGGUUGCAGGAUUUUUAUACAGAAGGUGUAUUUAUAGACCCUAAUAUGAUUCCAGAAAAUGUUAAGUCAUUGUAUACAACUUAAAGUAAAAGAAAAGGGGACGAUCUAAGGUUGGAUACUUUAAUAACGGCCAAAGACAGUUUGAUAGUUUUGGAGUGCUUUCGUUUAAAAAAUGUCUAGAUAUCAGGAUAUGCAGCUUUUGGUUAACAAGAGGCAGCAGAUUAGUUUUCAGAAACUAUUAAAAAAAUCAUUGAAGAGAAACUACACUACCUGAACAGGUUUUCAGUACAGAUGACAGUGUCCUAUUCUAGAAAAAAGAUGCCAAAAAUGCCAUUUAUUAGUAAGAUACAGAAGCAAGCACCAGGAUUUAAAUCAGGAAAGGAUAAGCUAAUUCUACUGUUUUGAGAGAAUGCAGUAGGGUUUAUCAUCAGGACUGUUCUUAUAUAUAAAGCGAGUAACCCCCGAGCUUAGAGAGAAUGCAGUCGGGUUUAUCAUCAGGACUGCUCUUAUAUAUAAAGCGACUAACCCCGGAGCCUUGAACAGAAAGGGUAAACACCAGCUGCCAGUGUUUUAGUUGUACAACAAGAAUGCCCGGGCAACAGGAAUAUUUUUUUGUCUAUUGAUUUCAUUGAUGCUUUGUCCCUGAAGUCAGGAAAUAUUUUGCCAAUAAGGGACUGCCUUUUAUGAUUCUGUCGAUGUUGGACAAUGCCCCUGGCUACCCAAAACCUCAUGAGUUCGACACAAAAAAGGUCAAAGUGGUCUACUUGCCCCCAACUGCAAUAUCUCUAAUUCAGCCUCUGAAUCAGGAGGUCAGAAGGAAUUUUAAUGCUCAUUACACACAUUACUCUAUGGAAAUAUUUGCGAAUGCCAAGAGACCAUUGGUAAAGACGACAUCAUGAAAGUCUGGAAGGGCUACACCACUGAAGAUGACACCAUUGGCAUUAAAAUAGGAAAAGCCAUGAUUAUGGGUGCAGUAGUGUGGGCAUAUGAUCCCAGAUACUAAAGAGGCUAAGGUGGGAGGAUUUUGGGAGCCCAGGAGUUUAAGGCCAACCUAGACAAGAGCAAGAGCCCAAUAAAUUUCUACUAGAGAAAACUGACCAGAAGUUUUUCAUGACUGCAGUAUAAUUUUUGAAAAAGUAAAUCAAGAAAAUGCUGAAAGAGAUUGUGGAUAUGGCAAAAAAAAAUGUGAAGAGUUUUACCACAUGGACGUUAUAAAAAUUCAAGAGCUAAUUGCACAUCAGAGAAAUUAACUGAAGACGACUUGACAGAGAUGAGUGCUUCUGAACCAGCUCCAAAUGAUGAAGAAGAACAUGUAGAAAAAGCAGUGUCAGAGCAUAAAUUGGCAUUAUAAUUUGGCAGAAAGAUUCUGAUUAUUCAAGGCAGCCUAUGACCUGUUUUACAACAAAGACCGUUCUAUGAUAUGAGCGCUGAAACUAAAGGAAGUGGUGAAAAUAAGAUUGUUACUGCCUAGGAAAAAUUUUAGGAAAAAGGAAAAGCAAAAA